rnacentral:rRNA from 1 species
UGGAAAGACUGUCUCCAUACAAUAACAAAAAAAGAUACAACUCUUAGCGGUGGAUAUCUCGGUUCUCG